rnacentral:rRNA from 1 species
GUGCCAGCAGCCGCGGUAAUACAGAGGUCUCAAGCGUUGUUCGGAAUCACUGGGCGUAAAGGGUGCGUAGGCGGCGGAGUAAGUCGGGUGUGAAAUUUGAAGGCUCAACCUUCAACUAGCACCUGAUACUACUUUGCUCGAGGCCUGAAGAGGAGCUUGGAAUUCUCGGUGUAGCAGUGAAAUGCGUAGAUUUCGAGAAGAACGCUCGCAGCGAAAGCGAAGCUCUGGUCAGGUUCUGACGCUGAGGCACGAAGGCUAGGGGAGCAAACGGGAUUAGAUACCCCGGUAGUCC